AUAUAUAUAGCUGUUCCACUCAUUAGUCCUACUUUAUACCAAAUAUAUCUACACUAUAUUUAUACAUAUCAAAAGGACAACAUAAAUCUCCACUUUAGAUGGAUUUGAAGAUCCAAGAUCAUGAGAAACUAAUCUCAAUCAAAGUUGAAGUUGAAUCAUUAUCAUUAGAAACUAAUGAUUCCAUUUCUAAGGAAGAAAAACACUAUAUAGGUGUCCGAAAACGGCCAUGGGGAAAAUUUGCAGCUGAAAUUAGGGAUUCAACAAGGAAUGGUAGAAGGGUUUGGCUUGGAACUUUUGAUACUGCUGAAGAAGCUGCUAUGACUUAUGAUCAAGCUGCAUUUUGCAUGAGAGGUCCUUCAACUUGUUUGAAUUUCUCAGUUGAAAAAGUGCGCGAAUCGCUACAAAAAAUGGAAUGUAAUAACCUAAAUGAUGGAUUGUUGUCACCAGCUGCAGCCCUAAAAGAGAAACAUAAGAAGAGAAAUAGUAGUAGUUCAAGAAAGAAGCAAGUGAAUAUUAUUAAAGAAGAAGAGAAUGUGUUUAUAUUUGAAGAUUUAGGUCCUGAUCUAUUAGAUGAACUCUUAUCUGAGUAUUCUUCUUGUUCAAAUUAGUCUACUAUUUUCACAUCUGUAAGUAAAUCUUGUACCUCUCCUUGUUCAUGGUUUAAUUUACCAUUCUUUUUAUUUGGUUCUUGUUUUCUAGCCAGCGAGGUCUAUAUAUCGAAAACAGCUUCUCUGCUCGUUCAAGGUACGGAUAAGACUACGUACAUCUCACCUCUGCAGAUCCCAUUUGUGGGAAUACACUGGGUCGUUGUUGUUUCUAGCUAAUCUACUGUUUCCCUCUUUUAAUUGAAAGGAUCCAAGAUCCUAUAAUUCACUCUCUUUCAAACUUGUUUGGUACCCUAGACUAGAACUUGCUUUUCCUAAUUAAAGUCCUCCAAAAUUGUAAAAAAGAAAAAAAAAAUUCUUUCUUUUCUUCUUCUUCUCAUGGUCAGAGCGUAUAUAGCAUAUAAUCAAUGGAUUUAACUGAAUUCAACAUUUUGACACAUAGCUUAAAUACAUUCAUAAAAAAUCACUAAACUUUCAACAACUAUUAAAUACCGAAUUUAUGAUUGUAAAAGUGUAAUGAGUUCAGUAUUAAGAACCUAAAGGUCGAACACAUUUAAAAUUUACAUGUUGGAUCCGCCUGUGCAGUUAGUCUUGCUGUUUCUUUCUCUUGACUGUUUAUCAAAUAUGAUGUGUUAAAUUUAUCAGAAAGAAAAAGAAAAAGAAAAAAACACACACUUCAUUUUCCAUUAAAGCUUUGACAUCUUACUGUUGUGUGAUAAAAAUUUAGAAAUAUUAUUGUUACAUGUAAAAGAUUGUGCUCUUCAGGAAUUUGGAAGUCACUAUCUUCUACUUUAAACUUGAGGCUCCCACAUACUCAAGUAUUUCAGCCACACAAUAAUUAUAAAUAUAUUAGCAUAUCCUAUGUCGAUUCAUUAUUUGAUUGUCACUAUUUAAAGCUGAAAAUGGUAUUGAAUGAUUACUAAUUUCAUAAAUUUAGUCAUGAACUAUGCAUCCUUUUUUCUUUGGCAUUCUAUUGAGGUAUUUCAAUUUAUUUGGUAUUGUUAAUUUACAGCUCAAGGAUAGAGGAUUCCAAUCACAAUCCGAGAAUGUGUUUAUUCAUUUUAUGUGUUAAGUGCCCUACGUUGGUGGAGAAAAUUAGUCGUUAUCUUCUUUUAUGGUAUUGGAUAAUGCUCACCUUAUGAGUUAGUGUUGGAGUUAUGCUAGAAUCAAUGUUCGUUUCUUAUUAUAGUAUCGGUUGGACGUCCGAACAAAGUCUCAUAUUGGUACCUGAAAAGAUUGGCAUGAACCUACAUAUAAUAUGUAGGAUGCCUUUAAUGGUGUGAGGUUUCAGUAAGGCCUUGCGGGAAAAUGAUAUGAACUUGACCCAGAGUGUAAUAUUACACUGUUUUAAGAGUAUCUUUGGGUUGGUUGAGCCUAACCGUGCCAGAGUUAGACUCAUUCCUAUUUCUUGGUUACUCUGCGUUGAGCUCCUAUACGUUAUGUUGUCCACGUUCCAGAUGUAAAAUGCCUUACAUUGGUGGAGGAAAUGAGACUUUGAAGGUUGAGUUAAGUCCAAUAUGCAUUUCUUAUCGGUGUGGAAUGCUAUUUCCCUUUGACAGUGAUUUUGAAUCAAAUCCAAUGAUCUCGUAAAAGUAUGAGAAGUUUUGGUGAAUCUUUUGCUUCUAGGUAGAACUUGAUUAUCCUUAUGCUUUUCGUGAGCCGAGGGUCUAUCGGAAACAGUCUAUCCACCUUUACAAGGACUUUGUUCUGCUCCCUUUGUCUCAUAUAUUUCCAGCUGCAGGAGAGAUUAAUUAUGUGUCAAAAACUUUCUCCAUGUGAUUUUAUGAUAUAGUAACUAGUAAGUAUGAAUAUUUCUGUUGUAUUUUAUUUCACAAUAUAUAAGCAGUGGCGAAGCCACAUGAUCAUAGGGGUGGUCAAUUGACCACUCUUCGUCGAAAAAUUACACUGUGUAGAUAGGUAAAAUAUUAUGUUUUAGAGGUAUAUAACACAUAUUAAACACCCUUUAUCAUGAAUUGUUUUCACUUCUUUUAAAUUUGAACAUUCUUGCAGAAAUUCCUAGCUUUGCCACUGUAUAUAAGGUACGCAAAUCACCAUCUUUUUUGUAAGUAUAAAUUGACUUUUGUUGUUGAUUACUUUUUGCUUUCUCCUAAAGCUCUUUGAUCAGGAAAUUAAAGUUCUCUUUGAGAUCAAUCUGUUCAAGUCUGAUAUCUAAUCUGUAAGUGUUUUAUUUUCCUCCCUAUUAUUUUUUUAUUAGAUAAGUUCUCCACAGCUUUAUUUUUUAUAUAUUGCUUUGUUUUCUUAUUAUAAGAUCCUAUAUGAAUCAUAUUUGAGCAGGGAAAAACCAACAAUGUGCUUUUAUGUCAUCCUUUUUACUAUGUUGUAUUCAGAAAACGAAUCCAGGAUAGAGUCGGCGGACCUAUAGGUCAGGGGUUCGAGCCGUAGAAUCUUCCACUGUUACUUGCAUCAGGAUAGGCUGCCUACGGCCUUUACCGGGACCCUACAUUCAUGCCGGAUAUUUCGUGCACUGGGCUGCCUUUUUCUUUUUGGUCAAGCCAAAAGCAUGAUUCUCAACUAACAUUCUUUGUGAGCUACAGGCCGCUAUCUAUGGAAUUAAUUGGUGCUACCAACAACCUUCACAACUCACGCUAGAGAUGGACUCACAAGUGGCCGUGAAGAUGAUCCAAGGACCGGUUAAACCUCCAUGGAAGCUUCGAAGAGCUGUUGAAGAGGUGCAAAAGAAGACACUAGAGAGACGCUUCCACAUAAAGCAUUACCAUAGGGAAGCUAAUGUGGUAGCAGAUUCUCUUGCAAAGCUGGCUAUAACGUUGGACAAUGAGAGAAUCUUCCUCACAAAGGAAGACCUACCGGCCAGAGAACUCAAGAACGCCCCUGCGAAUGGAUAAAUUACAGUUGGCCUUUUUUUUUUUUUUUUGGUUCUCUGAGGGUGCUGUAUUAAUAGAAAAGAUAGUUAUCUUUCAUACAACACUAGGGUAAAGAUUACCCAUCAUCGGAAAGGGAUCAAACAUAUUGAGGAAGAGCUUUCACAAAGGCCAAUAACCGAUAGGUGAUGUCACUAGCCUUAACUUCUUUAUCUACUUGAAAGUUGAUGGGAGUACGGCUUUCUUCAAGGAAGUGUCCCAUAUGAUAUUAUA